UAGUUGCUGGAGCUAUUUUCUUUACUUAUUCAGGGCUGGAUUUUUUUCGGAUUGGGAUGGUAGGUUUGGUAGUGGGAUCUCACAAUCCACCCCCAUUCCAGGGCAGGUUUUUCCCUAGCAGGAAGGUAUACUCUAAUCAGGCAGGGAUAAAACA